UACGAAGGGUGCAAGCGUUACUCGGAAUUACUGGGCGUAAAGCGUGCGCAGGCGGUUGUGUAAGACAGAUGUGAAAUCCCCGGGCUCAACCUGGGAACUGCAUUUGUGACUGCACAGCUGGAGUGCGGCAGAGGGGGAUGGAAUUCCGCGUGUAGCAGUGAAAUGCGUAGAUAUGCGGAGGAACACCGAUGGCGAAGGCAAUCCCCUGGACCUGUACUGACGCUCAUGCACGAAAGCGUGGGGAG
rnacentral:rRNA from 1 species